GACGAACGCUGGCGGCGUGCUUAACACAUGCAAGUCGAACGGAAAGGCCCUGCUUUUGUGGGGUGCUCGAGUGGCGAACGGGUGAGUAACACGUGAGUAACCUGCCCUUGACUUUGGGAUAACUUCAGGAAACUGGGGCUAAUACCGGAUAGGAGCUCCUGCUGCAUGGUGGGGGUUGGAAAGUUUCGGCGGUUGGGGAUGGACUCGCGGCUUAUCAGCUUGUUGGUGGGGUAGUGGCUUACCCAGGCUUUGACGGGUAGCCGGCCUGAGAGGGUGACCGGCCACAUUGGGACUGAGAGACGGCCCAGACUCCUACGGGAGGCAGCAGUGGGGAAUAUUGCACAAUGGGCGGAAGCCUGAUGCAGCAACGCCGCGUGCGGGAUGACGGCCUUCGGGUUGUAAACCGCUUUCGCCUGUGACGAAGCGUGAGUGACGGUAAUGGGUAAAGAAGCACCGGCUAACUACGU
rnacentral:rRNA from 1 species